GACAGAGGGUGCAAACGUUGUUCGGAUUUACUGGGCGUAAAGCGCACGUAGGCGGCUUUAUAAGUCGGGGGUGAAAGCCUGUGGCUCAACCACAGAAUUGCCUUCGAUACUGUAGAGCUUGAGACCGGAAGAGGUAAGUGGAACUGCGAGUGUAGAGGUGAAAUUCGUAGAUAUUCGCAAGAACACCAGUGGCGAAGGCGGCUUACUGGUCCGGUUCUGACGCUGAGGCGCGAAAGCGUGGGGAGCAAACAGG
rnacentral:rRNA from 1 species